CAGCGGCACAGGGUGAUAGCCCCGUACAUGAAAACUAACCAUUGAUGAAAACGAGUAAGGCGGGACACGUGACAUCCUGUUUGAAUAUGGGGGGACCAUCCUCCAAGGCUAAAUACUCCUGACUGACCGAUAGUGAACCAGUACCGUGAGGGAAAGGCGAAAAGAACCCCUGUGAGGGGAGUGAAAUAGAACCUGAAACCGUAUACGUACAAGCAGUGGGAGCGGUUCUUGAGACCGUGACUGCGUACCUUUUGUAUAAUGGGUCAGCGACUUACAUUUUGUAGCGAGGUUAAGCGAAUAGCGGAGCCGUAGGGAAACCGAGUGUUAACUGCGCGUUUAGUUGCAAGGUGUAGACCCGAAACCCGGUGAUCUAGCCAUGGGCAGGUUGAAGGUUGAGUAACAUCAACUGGAGGACCGAACCGACUAAUGUUGAAAAAUUAGCGGAUGACUUGUGGCUGGGGGUGAAAGGCCAAUCAAACCGGGAGAUAUCUGGUUCUCCUCGAAAGCUAUUUAGGUAGCGCCUCGAGCGAAUACCAUUGGGGGUAGAGCACUGUUAAGGCUAGGGGGUCAUCCCGACUUACCAACCCUUUGCAAACUCCGAAUACCAAUGAGUACUACUCGGGAGACAGACGGCGGGUGCUAACGUCCGUCGUCAAAAGGGAAACAACCCAGACCGUCAGCUAAGGUCCCAAAGUACUAGCUAAGUGGGAAACGAUGUGGGAAGGCUUAGACAGCUAGGAUGUUGGCUUAGAAGCAGCCAUCAUUUAAAGAAAGCGUAAUAGCUCACUAGUCGAGUCGGCCUGCGCGGAAGAUGUAACGGGGCUAAGCUAGUCACCGAAGCUACGGGUGCACAGUUUACUGUGCGCGGUAGAGGAGCGUUCUGUAAGCCGUUGAAGGUGAAGGGGUAACCCACGCUGGAGGUAUCAGAAGUGCGAAUGCUGACAUGAGUAACGAUAAAGGGGGUGAAAAACCCCCUCGCCGAAAGACCAAGGGUUCCUGUCCAACGUUAAUCGGGGCAGGGUGAGUCGACCCCUAAGGUGAGGCCGAAAGGCGUAAUCGAUGGGAAACAGAUUAAUAUUUCUGUACUUCCGCUAACUGCGAUGGAGAGACGGAGAAGGCUAGGCUAGCGCGGCGUUGGUAGUCCGCGUUUAAGGUGGUAGGUGGUGUUCUUAGGCAAAUCCGGGGACACGUACUUUAAUGUACACACUGAGAGCUGAUGACGAGGUCCUAAGGGACUGAAGUAGUUGAUGCCAUGCUUCCAGGAAAAUCUUCUAAGCUUCAGGUUAGUGGGAAUCGUACCCCAAACCGACACAGGUGGUCGGGUAGAGAAUACCAAGGCGCUUGAGAGAACUCGGCUGAAGGAACUAGGCAAAAUGGUACCGUAACUUCGGGAGAAGGUACGCUCCUGUUGGUGAUGAGACUUGCUCUCUAAGCUGACGGGAGUCGCAGAUACCAGGUGGCUGCAACUGUUUAUCAAAAACACAGCACUGUGCAAACUCGCAAGAGGAAGUAUACGGUGUGACGCCUGCCCGGUGCCGGAAGGUUAAUUGAUUGGGUUAUCGCAAGAGAAGCUCAUGAUCGAAGCCCCGGUAAACGGCGGCCGUAACUAUAACGGUCCUAAGGUAGCGAAAUUCCUUGUCGGGUAAGUUCCGACCUGCACGAAUGGCGUAAUGAUGGCCACGCUGUCUCCAGCCGAGACUCAGUGAAGUUGAAAUUGCGGUGAAGAUGCCGUAUACCCGCGGCUAGACGGAAAGACCCCGUGAACCUUUACUAUAGCUUGGCACUGAACAUUGAACCUACAUGUGUAGGAUAGGUGGGAGACU
rnacentral:rRNA from 1 species